UACGUAGGGUGCAAGCGUUGUCCGGAAUUAUUGGGCGUAAAGAGCUCGUAGGCGGUCUGUCGCGUCGGCUGUGAAAACUCGGGGCUCAACCCCGAGCCUGCAGUCGAUACGGGCAGACUAGAGUGCUGUAGGGGAGACUGGAAUUCCUGGUGUAGCGGUGAAAUGCGCCAGAUACUCAGGAGGAACACCGGUGGCGAAGGCGGGAUCUCCGCUCGG
rnacentral:rRNA from 1 species